rnacentral:rRNA from 1 species
UACGUAGGGUGCAAGCGUUUAAUCGGAAUUACUGGGCGUAAAGCGUGCGCAGGCGGUCCGUUAAGACAGAUGUGAAAUCCCCGGGCUUAACCUGGGAACUGCAUUUGUGACUGGCGGACUCGAGUAUGGCAGAGGGGGGUAGAAUUCCGACGUGUAGCAGUGAAAUGCGGUAGAGAUGUGGAGGAAUACCGAUGGCGAAGGCAGCCCCCUGGGCCAAUACUGACGCUCAUGCACGAAAGGCGUGGG